rnacentral:lncRNA from 1 species
AUCAGUUUGUAAUUUAUAUAUUUCACAAUUAACAAUAAAUAAUUUGUCUUCAUAUUAACAUAAUAUACAUAUAUAGCAUUGUGAAGCUAAACAAUGAUAACAAUUAUACACAACAUUAUCACAAUAAAGGCUGAUGAUAUUCAUAUAUAUAUUUGUAAAUAAUUACAUUUGCUGUGUGAAAUGAGAAUACAGAUUUGCCAAUGUAAAUUCAUAUAAACUAUUGACACAGAGAUAUGUCUCACCUUUUUGUUAUUUUGAAAGUAAAAAACAAUAUCAAUACUUGAUUAACAUUUAGUUAUGCGAAAUAUUCAGUCAAUGAACCAGGACUAAAAUAAUCUCCAUGGAAAUGAAAUGUGCCAAUGUUAAAAUUACAUACCAAAUAUUAUUGACAUACCACAACAAGUUUCUUUAGACUUAUCUAAUCUCAAACUAUUUUUUUUGUGAACAGAAUACCUAUGUCUCACUUUUUUUACUCUGUCAAGACAAGACAAUAAACCAUAAAAAAUGUCAAGGGUCAAGUACUUACAAAAUUACUAUACUAUAUAGAUAGUUUGUGUGGAUCUUAUCUUUUUCACUUAAAUAUCCACCGUGGGAUUUUUAAGUGGUUUCUGGUGACUACUCUAUUGACAGGACAUGCAUUUCCUAUCAUGCAGCAUAAAAUUAAUAAAUUAAUUUACAUAAUAAAGAAGUUUUUUAAUUAAAUAUUUUUUCUAACGCAACACUUGAGUGGACAGUAGCAGUAAGGUGAAAAGGACACAAUCACCAAAUAUAACCAGGUGCUCCGCAGGGCACAGCUUUAUACGACCGCAGAGGUCGAACCCUGAACAGUUGGGGCAAGUAUGGACAAAACAUUCAAGCGUGAUACAGUUCUGAAUUUGGAUUGUGAUCAAAUUUUUGACAUUACAUGGGUUUUUUUUACACAAAACAAAUGUCAAGAUUUUAUAAAUCAAUUAAAGAUUUCUUCUUCAAACUUUUUAAAUCUUAAAUUAAAUAGUUGAUCAUGACACAGCAUAGGUUUCUGACACAGAACGAAU